GCCGGGCGUUGUGGCGGGCGCCUGUGGUCCCAGCUACUUGGGAGGCGGAGGCAGGAGACUCGCUUGAGCCCAGGAGUUGGAGGUUGCUGUGAGCUGUAAUGCCACGGCACUCUGCCCAGGGGGACAGCUUGAGGCUCUGUCUCAAAAAAAAAAAAAAAUACUGAUUUGUCCUCGAAAAGUUUUUACCCUAUUCUAAACAUUUCUUGUUCUCUUUUUAAUUUACUAAACUUUCAUAAGCCAGUAAAAUGUUGGUUUUUUUUUUUUUUUUUGAGACAGAGCCUCAAGCUUUCCCCCUGGGUACAGUGCCGUGGCAUUACAGCUCACAGCAACCUCCAAC
rnacentral:sRNA from 1 species